CUUAAAUGUGUUCAACAUGGAUAUGUUGUGACUCAGAGUACAGUGAGACAUCUGUUAAAAUUUCUCGACCCCAGGGGUGUGGAACGAAGGCGGAGGAGGAGGCUGACGCGACGCGUGUAUAUUAAUCCUGGACCUAAUUUCUUGUGGCAUGUUGACUCCUAUGAUAAACUGAAGCCGUUUGGUAUCUGUAUUAAUGGGGCAAUCGAUGGCUUUUCCAGGCAAAUUGUAUGGCUCCAUGCUUUUUCCACAAGCAGUGAUCCUAAAAUUAUUGCUGGAUAUUUUAUAAAAGAAGUUGAGACGAGGAUGGGGACCCCUGCUCGAAUCCGCGCUGAUUUUGGAACUGAAAAUGUCACGAUGGCAGAAAUGCAGAGGUUCCUACGAUGGAGUGCUGAUCGCUCCUCCAUUAACUGCUUUAUUUCUGGUUCCAGCAAUCAUAACCAACGGAUUGAAAGCUGGUGGGCCUUUUUGAGGACACAUCAUGCUCAAGCGUGGAUGGAUCGUUUUCAUAAACUGAAAGACGAUGAUUAUUUCUCUGGGGACUUUUUGGACAAACAACUUGUUCUGUUUACCUGUCUGAAGAUCAUUGAGGAGGAGCUGCAACAAGUUUCACACUUGUGGAACACGCACACCAUCCGUCACAGCAGAAAUGGAGUGGCUCCAAGUGGACGUCCAAUCCUUAUGUACACCAUUCCACAUCUGUUUGAUGGAAGAGAACACCUGGUGGAGGUCUCCCAGGAGGCAGUGGAGGCGUGUAAACAGGAAUGUCAAACAAGAGGACCUUAUCCUUGUGAUCAAACAGUAUUCAGCUUGUGUUGCCUUAUAAUGUCAGAGAACUUCUUACUCUCACCAACCACAGCAGAUGAAGCCAUAGAGCUAUACAUUUUUCUGAGAACAUACAUACUUAAGGCCUUGUAGGUGGUCCUAAGGGUCCUGUUGCAUUGGGAUGUGGCUUCUUCUUUCCAAUGACAUGUACUGAUGCUCUGAUUUGUUUUGUACAUGAAAAUUUGGAUGUUUCACAUAUAUCAAAACUGAAUGAAAAGAAUAUAUUUCUAUUACAAAUAAUAAUCACAAAGACCUUGAAUUGCAUUCAUGCACUGAAUAAAGAAAUUGUCAUAAUUUUUAAGUGAUUGUUGGAAUUCUAAGAAUAAAUGCACCAGAUUGUUGAGAGACAAAUGUGUUUAUUAUUUUUCAUCUGUCAACCAAGAAAAAUUUCAGCUUGUAACUGCACAUGUGUACAUUUAUAACAAACACAUUCAACAUAUAUGCUGAAAUAUCAACAUUGAGUUAGAAGUGAACUUGUUUUUUUAAUUUUUUAUCCUUCAGACAUCCCCUAAAGAAAAUGAUAUCUAUGUCUGGGAACAAGAACAAGGGUUUGUAUUACAAAGCAAACCAAACAGAAAAAAAAAAAAAAAAAAAAAAAAAAAAA